rnacentral:rRNA from 1 species
AUCCUGGCUCAGAUUGAACGCUGGCGGCAGGCCUAACACAUGCAAGUCGAGCGGUAGCACAGAGAGCUUGCUCUCGGGUGACGAGCGGCGGACGGGUGAGUAAUGUCUGGGAAACUGCCUGAUGGAGGGGGAUAACUACUGGAAACGGUAGCUAAUACCGCAUAACGUCGCAAGACCAAAGUGGGGGACCUUCGGGCCUCAUGCCAUCAGAUGUGCCCAGAUGGGAUUAGCUAGUAGGUGGGGUAACGGCUCACCUAGGCGACGAUCCCUAGCUGGUCUGAGAGGAUGACCAGCCACACUGGAACUGAGACACGGUCCAGACUCCUACGGGAGGCAGCAGUGGGGAAUAUUGCACAAUGGGCGCAAGCCUGAUGCAGCCAUGCCGCGUGUGUGAAGAAGGCCUUCGGGUUGUAAAGCACUUUCAGCGGGGAGGAAGGCGAUAAGGUUAAUAACCUUGUCGAUUGACGUUACCCGCAGAAGAAGCACCGGCUAACUCCGUGCCAGCAGCCGCGGUAAUACGGAGGGUGCAAGCGUUAAUCGGAAUUACUGGGCGUAAAGCGCACGCAGGCGGUCUGUCAAGUCGGAUGUGAAAUCCCCGGGCUCAACCUGGGAACUGCAUUCGAAACUGGCAGGCUAGAGUCUUGUAGAGGGGGGUAGAAUUCCAGGUGUAGCGGUGAAAUGCGUAGAGAUCUGGAGGAAUACCGGUGGCGAAGGCGGCCCCCUGGACAAAGACUGACGCUCAGGUGCGAAAGCGUGGGGAGCAAACAGGAUUAGAUACCCUGGUAGUCCACGCCGUAAACGAUGUCGAUUUGGAGGUUGUGCCCUUGAGGCGUGGCUUCCGGAGCUAACGCGUUAAGUCGACCGCCUGGGGAGUACGGCCGCAAGGUUAAAACUCAAAUGAAUUGACGGGGGCCCGCACAAGCGGUGGAGCAUGUGGUUUAAUUCGAUGCAACGCGAAGAACCUUACCUACUCUUGACAUCCAGAGAACUUAGCAGAGAUGCUUUGGUGCCUUCGGGAACUGUGAGACAGGUGCUGCAUGGCUGUCGUCAGCUCGUGUUGUGAAAUGUUGGGUUAAGUCCCGCAACGAGCGCAACCCUUAUCCUUUGUUGCCAGCGGUUCGGCCGGGAACUCAAAGGAGACUGCCAGUGAUAAACUGGAGGAAGGUGGGGAUGACGUCAAGUCAUCAUGGCCCUUACGACCAGGGCUACACACGUGCUACAAUGGCAUAUACAAAGAGAAGCGACCUCGCGAGAGCAAGCGGACCUCAUAAAGUAUGUCGUAGUCCGGAUUGGAGUCUGCAACUCGACUCCAUGAAGUCGGAAUCGCUAGUAAUCGUAGAUCAGAAUGCUACGGUGAAUACGUUCCCGGGCCUUGUACACACCGCCCGUCACACCAUGGGAGUGGGUUGCAAAAGAAGUAGGUAGCUUAACCUU